UACGGAGGGUGCAAGCAUUAAUCGGAUUUAUUGGGCGUAAAGGGCGCGUAGGCGGGCCUGUAAGUCAGAUGUGAAAGCCCGGAGCUCAACUCCGGAACAGCAUUUGAAACUGUGGGUCUAGAGGGUAGGCGGAGAAAAUGGAAUUCCACAAGUAGCGGUGAAAUGCGUAGAUAUGUGGAAGAACACCGGUGGCGAAGGCGAUUUUCUAGCUUAUACCUGACGCUGAGGCGCGAAAGUAAGGGGAUCAAACAGG
rnacentral:rRNA from 1 species